rnacentral:rRNA from 1 species
UACGUAGGGCGCAAGCGUUGUCCGGAUUUAUUGGGCGUAAAGAGCUCGUAGGCGGUCUGUCGCGUCGGCUGUGAAAACCCGAGGCUCAACCUCGGGCCUGCAGUCGAUACGGGCAGACUAGAGUGCGGUAGGGGAGACUGGAAUUCCUGGUGUAGCGGUGAAAUGCGCAGAUAUCAGGAGGAACACCGGUGGCGAAGGCGGGUCUCUGGGCCGUAACUGACGCUGAGGAGCGAAAGCAUGGGGAGCGAACAGG